GCUCACAGAGCAAAAAUUGAUACUUGUGAAAGGAGUGCACCGAACACCUCAGAAGCCUGGGAAUCCACCCAUUAUAAUUUCACAACACAGGGUCACUAAACAGUAUCCCGCAUAAGGCCCCCAAAAGGUUAUAAACAGGCUUUGAGAGAGAGAGAGAGAGAGAGAGAGAGAGAGAGAGAGAGAGAGAGAGAGAGAGAGAGAGAGAGAGAGAGAGAGAGAGUAGGAUUUCCUUGCAUGCUUAGGAAUGUGUGUUUGUCACAUUAUCUACGUGUCUCGCCAAUCAUCAUCAUCAGCAGCAGCAGCAGCAUCAGCAUCUUGUUCUCUUCUCUCUCAGAGUUUAAGGAGAGACUAUGAGAAACUGUGCACCAAAAGAUUCAAGUGUAACAGCCUUCUAUAGUUACAAAACAGUCAGGCUAUCAAAUUAUACAACAGCUAACGAGCAAUAUUGAGCGUUAUAUGAACUAUGCUUGAGUUAAAUUGAUUUACUCUUGCUAUACAUUCAUAUAUCACAUUAUUGAGUGCAGUAGGCGUGUCUGUACAUUCUAAAGUGACAGACAGCCUUUAUGAACACCAGCUCCUAAUAAAUAUGAUCCUCGUUACUUCACUUGAAUAACCCUAGAUGAUUUAAACUUCAGAAAUAACUUUUUUUUCCCCGUCAGUAGUGUGACUUCAAAUUAUACUCCAAAAUUAUACUAUAUUUUAUUAAACUUGAGAGAGAAAAACAAGUAAAUUAAGAUUGCUUCGGAAAUUCGUGUGACACUAAGACUCGAAUCAUCUGCUAUCUCGUCGUGGGCUUUGUUUUCUAUCGCUAGAAGUUUACGUCACGCAGUCGAGAGGCGACGGCUUGUAAUAGCAACAGAACCUUGGAAGAAGAAGGACGUGUGGUGUGGAAGUCAAGAUUCUGUUUUCGUUUCGUUUUCCGAGUGUCAUUUCUGUGUGUGUGUGGAGAUGUGUGUCUUGAGGGAGACCAAAUGGACGGAGACUUGUGGUGGUUCCUCGUCACCCUCGUCCCCCUCCUCGCCCUCGUCCCCAUCGCUUACGUAGUGUUCCUUGUUGGUGAUGCCUGGUGGUUUGUGUAGGUGGUUAAGUGCAUGGAAGUGACAGGCAACGCAAGGAAAGAUAAUGUAGGAUUUGAUAGUGAUGUAGCGCAAGAAGGUGAGGGUAACUACUCGAUUGCUGGUAUAAUAGGCCUUGACUUCAGUGCUGGUGAUCAAUUUCCUGUGGUGUGGCAGGCUGCGUCUGGUGCUGCUGAUGGCAGUGCGUCGUCCAGGCUGGUGGUGGUGUGUCUGGUGGGUGUUGCUGAGACCUGCUGCCACUACCGCCGCCGCCGCCAAGACACACUGAAGAGACUCUUCAUUGUACCAGUGUGUCAGACUGUGUGGACUUGUAGUGUUGCAAGUAACGAGCUUCCCAGUGUACAAUAAGUCGAAGACUCCCUACCAUGAAUUAAAGAUAUUGAUUGAU